UGGCAUAUACAAUGAGACGCAAUACCGCGAGGUGGAGCAAAUCUAUAAAAUAUGUCCCAGUUCGGAUUGUUCUCUGCAACUCGAGAGCAUGAAGCCGGAAUCGCUAGUAAUCGUAGAUCAGCCAUGCUACGGUGAAUACGUUCCCGGGUCUUGUACUCACCGCCCGUCACACCAUGGGAGUUGAUUUCACUCGAAGCCGGAAUACUAAACUAGUUACCGUCCACAGUGGAAUCAGCGACUGGGGUGAAGUCGUAACAAGGUAACCGUAGGAGAACCUGCGGUUGGAUCACCUCCUUU
rnacentral:rRNA from 1 species